AGAGUUUGAUCCUGGCUCAGAGUGAACGCUGGCGGUAGGCCUAACACAUGCAAGUCGAACGGCAGCACAGAGGAGCUUGCUCCUUGGGUGGCGAGUGGCGGACGGGUGAGGAAUACAUCGGAAUCUACUCUGUCGUGGGGGAUAACGUAGGGAAACUUACGCUAAUACCGCAUACGACCUACGGGUGAAAGCAGGGGAUCUUCGGACCUUGCGCGAUUGAAUGAGCCGAUGUCGGAUUAGCUAGUUGGCGGGGUAAAGGCCCACCAAGGCGACGAUCCGUAGCUGGUCUGAGAGGAUGAUCAGCCACACUGGAACUGAGACACGGUCCAGACUCCUACGGGAGGCAGCAGUGGGGAAUAUUGGACAAUGGGCGCAAGCCUGAUCCAGCCAUACCGCGUGGGUGAAGAAGGCCUUCGGGUUGUAAAGCCCUUUUGUUGGGAAAGAAAUCCAGCCGGCUAAUACCUGGUUGGGAUGACGGUACCCAAAGAAUAAGCACCGGCUAACUUCGUGCCAGCAGCCGCGGUAAUACGAAGGGUGCAAGCGUUACUCGGAAUUACUGGGCGUAAAGCGUGCGUAGGUGGUCGUUUAAGUCCGUUGUGAAAGCCCUGGGCUCAACCUGGGAACUGCAGUGGAUACUGGACGACUAGAGUGUGGUAGAGGGUAGCGGAAUUCCUGGUGUAGCAGUGAAAUGCGUAGAGAUCAGGAGGAACAUCCAUGGCGAAGGCAGCUACCUGGACCAACAUUGACACUGAGGCACGAAAGCGUGGGGAGCAAACAG
rnacentral:rRNA from 1 species